GGUGUUGUGGGUUCAGUUCAUUUUUGGCUAGUUCCUUGGUCAGAUUUAUAUUUCUCAAGAUCUAUAGGCCCCUUCCUAUGUAGUCCGUAGUAACCACAGGGUUUUGAUCUAUUGCCUGUAGCUUCCAAGGCGUUUCCCUCUGUUAUAUCUUCUUCUGUUUGCUAGUCUCUUCAGUAUCUGGUUUCCGCCCUGACUCAAAGGGCACGGUGGAGGACGCUUUUUUUUUUUUUUUUUUUUAGGCUUACUUGUUCAGUUGCGCUGUGGGGAGGGAAGGAGGGAUGCUGCAAACAAAUAACACUGGCGUGGGCUCGCAAUGCCUCAUCCACCCUGGGUCUGCCCCUGCUCACGGCGCGUGUAGCCUCCCUGUCCACACUGCUCGGACUCUAGGUUGUUCCGCCGGGAACAAUCCGAGGCUGGCCCUGGGCUGCAUGCACCUCCCAGGUCUAAGCCGCUCAGGUUCAGGCACUCGGGUAGUCCUCAGAGGCGCAGACUCAGUUGGGCCUGCGUUUUGUGCUCUUCCCAGGUCCGAGCGCCAAUUUGCUCUUCCCAGGCGAGCGCCAAUGCUGCGACUUAUCGCCUCCCCGCCACUCGGUUAUCUGGAUGUAAAACCUUCUCAGGCAGAUGUUGACCGUCCAGACCCCCAAGAAGUUUUAGUUAGCAAAGAAGCCUGCUUACAAUUUUAUAGAUAAUGUCUCUCUGGGGCUGCGAUUGCCCCCUUCCGGCUCUGGCUGCCUGUCACCGGAGGGGGAAGGUCUGCAGCCGGCUAUCUCUGUUCAGUCCUUUGUUCCGUGCGCGGGCCUGGCGGUCUUAGGUUAGGGCUGGCUUUUCUCGUGGUAGGUAUCCCACAGUCUGGUUUGCUAGCCCAAAUUAUUUCGCUCAGAUAGCGCUCAGGGUAUUCAGGCCAGAUUCUUACUCUCAGCGAUGCAGCCCACGCCGCGCCUCCCUGCCCAGCCCCGGUUUGCUAAUGGCGGAUGCAGGCGUCUGCGCUGCUUCUCUGCUGGGGGAGUUACCGUAGGGCUCACAAUCUGCGAGUUUUAAAUUGUUUAUUUAUUUUUCCCCCUGUUAUGUUGCCCUCUGUGCUUCCAAAGCUCGGCACAGAUUCGGCAGUGAGAAGGUUUCCUGAUGUUUGGAAACUUCUCUCUUUUUAAGAUUCCCUUCCCGGGACGGAACUCCGUCCCUCCCUCUUUUGUCUCUUUUUUUUUGUUUUUAAUAUUUUUUCCUACCUCCUUUCGAAGAGUUGGGUUGCUUUUCUGGGUGCCUGAUGUCCUCUGCCGGCAUUCAGAAGUUGUUUUGUGGAAUUUACUCGACGUUUAAAUGCUCUUUUGAUGAAUUUGUGGGGGAGAAAGUGUUCUCCCCGUCCUACUCCUCCGCCAUCUUGGCUCCUCUCCGCAUUGGAGGCUUUUAAACCAGAGAAAAUAGCAGCCACCCAUUUCUGCAUCUGGGCUGUAUCCACACACCUGGUUCUCUGAAGUUAAAGUUUGUCUGUCACCGGGACUUUGCUCCCAGCUCUCUGUUACCCAGGGAAAGCAUGGAAAUGGUGUCACCACAGCCCAUGAAUACUGCAGCAGCUUCCAGAAAUCGGCUUGGGGUCUUCUCAGAUCCUGGUAGCCCUCUGUGAGACCUAAUACCCAUCCUGUUCUGAGUGUGCACCCCAGGAAACCCCAAGAUGUGGAGUCUUGUGUGCCUCACAUGUGUCUGUUUAAACACUUCAGUGUUAUCCAAACUCCUAUCAUGCAGAUGCUGACCAGAAGUGUGUAACCAAUUAGCCAUUAUGGACUGUGGAUUUUAGCAUUACUAAAU
ensembl:lncRNA